ensembl:lincRNA
AAAUUAUUUGAAGUUUCUCCUUAGAGCUCUUCCCCCUUCUCCUUGAUGUUCAGGCUACUUGCAGUAAGGCUCACUGUUUCUUUCCCUGAAGGAGUGCUCAGAUUGCUGACCUACAGCAGAAGCUGCUGGAUGCGGAAAGUGAAGACAGGCCAAAACAACGCUGGGAGAAUAUUGCCACCAUUCUGGAAGCCAAGUGUGCCCUGAAAUACUUGAUUGGAGAGCUGGUCUCCUCCAAAAUACAGGUCAGCAAACUUGAAAGCAGCCUGAAACACAGCAAGACCAGCUGUGCUGACAUGCAGAAGAUGCUGUUUGAGGAACGAAAUCAUUUUGCUGAGAUAGAGACAGAGUUACAAGCUGAGCUGGUCAGAAUGGAGCAACAGCACCAAGAGAAGGUGCUGUACCUUCUCAGCCAGCUGCAGCAAAGCCAAAUGGCAGAGAAGCAGUUAGAGGAAUCAGUCAGCGAAAAGGAACAGCAGCUGCUGAGCACACUGAAGUGUCAGGAUGAAGAACUUGAGAAGAUGCGAGAAGUGUGUGAGCAAAAUCAACAGCUUCUCCGAGAGAAUGAAAUCAUCAAGCAGAAACUGACCCUCCUCCAGGUAGCCAGCAGACAGAAACAUCUUCCUAAGGAUACCCUUCUAUCUCCAGACUCUUCUUUUGAAUAUGUCCCACCUAAGCCAAAACCUUCUCGUGUUAAAGAAAAGUUCCUGGAGCAAAGCAUGGACAUCGAGGAUCUAAAAUAUUGUUCAGAGCAUUCUGUGAAUGAGCAUGAGGAUGGUGAUGGUGAUGGUGAUGAUGAUGAGGGGGAUGAUGAGGAAUGGAAGCCAACAAAAUUAGUUAAGGUGUCCAGGAAGAACAUCCAAGGGUGUUCCUGCAAGGGCUGGUGUGGAAACAAGCACUGUGGGUGCAGGAAGCAAAAGUCAGACUGUGGUGUGGACUGUUGCUGUGACCCUACAAAGUGUCGGAACCGCCAACAAGGCAAGGAUAGCUUGGGCACUGUUGAACGGACCCAGGAUUCCGAAGGCUCCUUCAAAUUGGAGGAUCCUACGGAAGUGACCCCAGGAUUGAGCUUCUUUAAUCCCGUCUGUGCCACCCCCAAUAGCAAGAUCCUGAAAGAGAUGUGCGACGUGGAGCAGGUGCCGUCAAAGAAGACUCCCCCAGCUCCCUCCCUUUUUGACCUCCCAGAGUUGAAACAUGUAGCAACAGAAUACCAAGAAAAUAAGGCUCCAGGGAAGAAAAAGAAACGAGCUCUGGCCAGCAACACCAGCUUCUUCUCUGGCUGCUCCCCUAUCGAAGAAGAGGCCCACUGAAGUUGGAGUCAUCAUCUCUACCCUCAGUCUGGCUUGGGAGAUCUUUCAGGUUGCAGCCAGAAGGGGUUUUUAAAUGACUUCUCUGGAUUUCAGGUUUCUUGCUGUUGAAAAAAGGAAAAAAGCGUUACUGAAAAGAAGGUAACCCCUGUUGGAUGUUGGCCCUCAGCCUCCAGCUCCAGACUACUACUCACUGUUCUCCAGAAGGGUGCUAAACCACCUACUGAAGAGAGAACCAACUGACUUUCCUAAUGACUCAUCAGGAACCAGUCCUCAAAAUCAUCAAGUUAUUUCUUAUUUGUGAGCAGUUCAGGCUAUCUCAUGACGGGGAUGAGGCCAAGGCUUUCUUAUCUUUUGGUUGUCUCUGCUUAACGGAGGAGCCUGGCCUAGGAUGGAGGCCUGGUUUAGAUCUUUCAUUCCACCUCAGGAAUGGGGUUGUGAUCUGUACUGUCCUGACCCUCUCUGAAUUGUGUUUCGAUAGUACUCUCGAUUGUCUUCCAUGUUGUUGAAGUAAAUGAAUUAUUUUUAAAUGUUAAGUAAGUAAAUAAACCUUAGCCCAUCUACUGUUUGGGAAGAUCCUUCUGUGCUAGAGGGAUAAAUAAAAUUUCAACCUGUGUUCCUGAGCCCCUGAGGAAGCUAUUAAGGGGAUUCAUUACAAGUACCUGAGCCUCCCUGCCUUAUUGUAGCUGCCCUGUUUCCCAGAAGGUAGUGUGGAGUGUGACAUGUCUUUAUGUUGCUCUGCUACCCUAAGAAAUCAGAAUCAUGUUAGCAAGGCCAGUGGCCUGACCUCCACUGUAGAACCUGCCUGGCUUCCAGAUUUGGGAGGAAGAAACCACGUUUACUAACCAUCUCCAUGUUCUUGCCACAAUUUUAUUUGUUCUUCACACACACACACACAAAGGUCAACAUAGAUAGAUGUCUUUAUUUUGCAUUUGAGGAAACUGGGGUACAAAGAAGUUAAGUAACUUACCCAGAGUCACAAAGUUAGUGAGCUAGGACCCGAACGCAGAGCUACCAUCCAAGCUUCACUCUAGCCAACUCUCUAGAGUGCCAGCAGCAGCCACUUCUAAUGCCCUGCAGCCUGAUUUCUUAGUGGAGGAGGGGCAUUGCACCAUACUGCUGUCCAGUCCCAGGACAGAACGGCACUGGCUCCUUGCAUUCUCCUUUGAAAGAUGCUUAUGCCUUACAAUGUAUCAGGGUUCUCCAUCUCUGCUUAAAGCUAAAAGGGGGCCAGCCCUGGAAUACCAUACACAGGCUGCUGACUGGCCUUGUCUUCUGAGGUGCUCACAAGCCCUGCGCUUCAUAUCUAUGCAUUCUAAAUCCCAAAACCCUUCUCCCCAAAAAAGCUCCCAAACCAUCCCCAAAAACUCAAAAGCCAAGACUCCUCUAGAAUCCACCAGAGCCCAAGCAAAAGAAAUUGAGCAACAGUCUGCCUAGAAUGAAGCCUGCAAUGGACUAGGUGACCUGCUGGUCCUCCCUGGCCUCCUGCCAGCAAGCAGCCCUGCUUCUCUUUGCAUUUUAAUGCCGAGGGAGCCUCUGCCAUUGCCAACUAGAGCCUCUGGACACAAUGGGAAGGCUGAGUGGGAGGGGGGCCAGCUCUUGGCAUAAGAGAGCCAGUCUUCCUUCUCACUAUUUGAAAUCCAGUGUGUGGCGGGGGAGGGGUAAGCAGACUUAUCCCCAGAGAAAACAUCCUUUCCCACCAACACUGCACUAAUAGCCCCCAGACCUCGAGUCACCGCAUCAGGCAUAAUGUAGAGGGAGAGGUCAAUCAAGCCAGCCCCUGGCCCCCAUCCCACCCAGACCCCUGUGCUUUAGCACUAAGCAAACUCUAUAGCAUGCUAACCAGCCCUUCCCCGCUGAUGCUAUAGUAACAGCAUCUUUUGUAUGUGUUCAUCUUCCAAAAGCCUGUGACCCCAAUAUAUGCUACACUCCUCAAAGGAUUCUUGGAAGGAGACUUAUAUGCCUUAGGGACAAGGCAGUAGAAAUGACACAAGUUCUGAAUGAGCAUCUCCUGUCUGGGGUGAUGAGGGAAGACGGGAGAACUACUAGUGUCACCCAGGAUCCACAAGGCCCAUGGGGACCUCUGGUCCAGAAACAGGGCAACUUGCUGUCCAGAGUUCAGGAAGUAGCUUGCAGCUUCUGUUGCCCAGGCUGGAGUGCAGUAGCACAAUCUCAACUCACUGCAGCCUCGACCUCCCGGGCUCAAGCAAUCUUCCCACAUCAGCCUCCCAAGUAGCUGGGAUUAUAGGUGCACACCACCAUGCCUGGCUAAUUUUUGUAUUUUUUGUAGAGACAGGGUUUUCACCAUGUUGGCCAGGCUGGUCUUGAACUCCUGACCUCAGGUGAUCCACUCGCCUCGGCCUCCCAAAGUGCUGGGAUUAUAGGCGUGAGCCACUG